rnacentral:rRNA from 1 species
UAGGGAAUCUUCGGCAAUGGGGGCAACCCUGACCGAGCAACGCCGCGUGAGUGAAGAAGGUUUUCGGAUCGUAAAGCUCUGUUGUAAGUCAAGAACGAGUGUGAGAGUGGAAAGUUCACACUGUGACGGUAGCUUACCAGAAAGGGACGGCUAACUACGUGCCAGCAGCCGCGGUAAUACGUAGGUCCCGAGCGUUGUCCGGAUUUAUUGGGCGUAAAGCGAGCGCAGGCGGUUUGAUAAGUCUGAAGUUAAAGGCUGUGGCUCAACCAUAGUUCGCUUUGGAAACUGUCAAACUUGAGUGCAGAAGGGGAGAGUGGAAUUCCAUGUGUAGCGGUGAAAUGCGUAGAUAUAUGGAGGAACACCGGUGGCGAAAGCGGCUCUCUGGUCUGUAACUGACGCUGGGGCUCGAAAGCGUGGGGAGCGAACAGGAUUAGAUACCCUGGUAGUCCACGCCGUAAACGAUGAGUGCUAGGUGUUGGAUCCUUUCCGGGAUUCAGUGCCGCAGCUAACGCAUUAAGCACUCCGCCUGGGGAGUACGACCGCAAGGUUG